UACGAAGGGGGCUAGCGUUGUUCGGAAUCACUGGGCGUAAAGCGCACGCAGGCGGAUUGAUAAGUCGGGGGUGAAAUCCCGGGGCUCAACCUCGGAAUUGCCUUCGAUACUGUCUGUCUUGAGUCCGGGAGAGGUGAGUGGAAUUCCUAGUGUAGAGGUGGAAUUCGUAGAUAUUAGGAAGAACACCAGUGGCGAAGGCGGCUCACUGGUCCGGUACUGACGCUGAGGUGCGAAAGCGUGGGGAGCAAACAGG
rnacentral:rRNA from 1 species